rnacentral:misc_RNA from 1 species
AAACCCUAAUUCUGUCGAUUCUGUUUGGCCCUCGAGAUACCUAUCUUUCUCUCUUUCGUCUCCUCCUCGACCUUAUUCUAGAUUCUUCCAUCGAUCACGCUCUCUUCUCUCUUUCCCACAGGAAUAGAUUGCUUUCAAGGAGAUGUCUCCAGCGUCAAAAUCCAAGUCCAAGGAUAAAAAGGCUGGCAAGGAACACCAGAAGGCUUCAUCUAAGCCUUCUGGGCCUGCUAAUGCAGGUAGCGGUAUGCCAGGUAGUGCAUACAAUCCACUAUCUGGAACAUUUCAUGCACUGGAAAUAGUAUCAACAUCGUCUACUUCACCUCAGCAUGCUAAUGGUCGUUACCAGAACAUAGAUGAGACGGAUGAUCACCUUGGAUGUUCACUUGGAGCUGGGGUCGAGUAUGAUUCUGUUUCAAAUAAUGGCAGCUGGUCUGGUGAGUCAGAAGAUCAUAAAGAGAAGAAUAUUCCUAUUCGGCAGGAAACAAUCCCAGGGNNNNNAAGAGGGAAAAAAUCCGUCAAAAGAAUGAGAGGAAGCAUCAGCGUCAAAAAGAGAGGCGAGCCCAGGAAUUGCAUGAGCGGUGCAGUGGCUAUCUAAUGUCAAGAAAGCUAGAAGCACUUGCUCAACAGCUUGUUGCAAUGGGAUUUUCACAUGAGCGGGCUACAAUGGCGCUAAUAUUAAAUGAAGGAAAAGUAGAAGAAUCUGUUUCUUGGCUAUUUGAAGAGGGUGAAGAUGCGGAUAAGCACCGGGAUCAAAACCUUGGUGGGAGUAAUUUGAAAAUUGACAUAUCAGAAGAGCUUGCUAGAAUGGCCCAGAUGGAAAUAAGAUACAAGUGCAGCAAGCAGGAGGUUGAAAGAGCUGUGGUUG